rnacentral:rRNA from 1 species
GAUGACGAUGCACUACGGUGCAGAAGUAGUUGAUGCCAUGCUUCCAGGAAAAGCCUCUAAGCAUCAGGUAACAUGAAAUCGUACCCCAAACCGACACAGGUGGUCAGGUAGAGAAUACUCAGGCGCUUGAGAGAACUCGGGUGAAGGAACUAGGCAAAAUGGUGCCGUAACUUCGGGAGAAGGCACGCUGGCAUUAGGUAAAGGGACUUGCUCCCGGCGCCGAAGCCAGUCGCAGAUACCAGCUGGCUGCAACUGUUUAAUAAAAACACAGCACUGUGCAAACACGAAAGUGGACGUAUACGGUGUGACGCCUGCCCGGUGCUGGAAGGUUAAUUGAUGGGGUCAGCCGCAAGGCGAAGCUCUUGAUCGAAGCCCCAGUAAACGGCGGCCGUAACUAUAACGGUCCUAAGGUAGCGAAAUUCCUUGUCGGGUAAGUUCCGACCUGCACGAAUGGCGUAAUGAUGGCCAGGCUGUCUCCACCCGAGACUCAGUGAAAUUGAACUCGCUGUGAAGAUGCAGUGUACCCGCGGCAAGACGGAAAGACCCCGUGAACCUUUACUAUAGCUUGACACUGAACAUUGAGCCUUGAUGUGUAGGAUAGGUGGGAGGCAUAGAAGUGUGGACGCCAGUCUGCAUGGAGCCAACCUUGAAAUACCACCCUUUAAUGUUUGAUGUUCUAACUCGGCCCCGUAAUCCGGGGUGAGGACAGUGUCUGGUGGGUAGUUUGACUGGGGCGGUCUCCUCCCAAAGAGUAACGGAGGAGCACGAAGGUUAGCUAAUCACGGUCGGACAUCGUGAGGUUAGUGCAAAGGCAUAAGCUAGCUUGACUGCGAGAGUGACGGCUCGAGCAGGUACGAAAGUAGGUCUUAGUGAUCCGGUGGUUCUGAAUGGAAGGGCCAUCGCUCAACGGAUAAAAGGUACUCCGGGGAUAACAGGCUGAUACCGCCCAAGAGUUCAUAUCGACGGCGGUGUUUGGCACCUCGAUGUCGGCUCAUCACAUCCUGGGGCUGAAGUAGGUCCCAAGGGUAUGGCUGUUCGCCAUUUAAAGUGGUACGCGAGCUGGGUUUAGAACGUCGUGAGACAGUUCGGUCCCUAUCUGCCGUGGGCGUUGGAAGAUUGAGAGGGGCUGCUCCUAGUACGAGAGGACCGGAGUGGACGAAUCACUGGUGUUCGGGUUGUCAUGCCAAUGGCAUUGCCCGGUAGCUAAAUUCGGAAGAGAUAACCGCUGAAAGCAUCUAAGCGGGAAACUUGCCUCGAGAUGAGUCUUCCCUGGGGCUUUAAGCCCCCUGAAGGAACGUUAAAGACGAUGACGUUGAUAGGCUGGGUGUGUAAGUGCAGCGAUGCAUUGAGCUAACCAGUACUAAUGAACCGUGAGGCUUAACCUU